rnacentral:rRNA from 1 species
UGCUAUUGGGAUCCGACUAAGCCAUGCGAGUCGAGAGGGUUCGGCCCUCGGCUGACGGCUCAGUAACACGUGGAUAAUCUGCCCUAAGGUGGAGGAUAACCUCGGGAAACUGAGAAUAAUACUCCAUAAGUCUAGGAUGCUGGAAUGCACUUAGACUGAAAACUUCGGUGCCUUAGGAUGAGUCUGCGGACUAUCAGGUUGUAGUCAGGGUAAAGACCUGACUAGCCUACGACGGAUACGGGUUGUGAGAGCAAUAACCCGGAGAUGAUAUCUGAGACACGAUAUCAGGCCCUACGGGGCGCAGCAGGCGCGAAAACUUCGCACUGCGCGAAAGCGCGACGAGGGGAUCCCAAGUGUAUGCACGUAAGUGUAUACUGUUUCUCUGUCUAAAAAGCAGAGAGAGUAAGGCUGGGUAAGACGGGUGCCAGCCGCCGCGGUAAUACCCGCAGCUCAAGUGGUGAUCGUUAUUAUUGGGCCUAAAACGUCCGUAGCCGGUCUUGUAAAUGCCUGGGUAAAUCGUAUGGCUUAACCAUACGAAUUCCGGGUAGACUGUUAGACUUGAGACCGGGAGAGGCUAGAGGUACUCCUGGGGUAGAGGUGAAAUUCUGUAAUCCUGGGGGGACCACCAGUGGCGAAGGCGUCUAGCCAGAACGGGUCUGACGGUGAGGGACGAAGCCCUGGGGCGCAAACGG